UGGGGAAUAUUGGACAAUGGGCGCAAGCCUGAUCCAGCAAUGCCGCGUGAGUGAUGAAGGCCUUAGGGUUGUAAAGCUCUUUCGCACGCGACGAUGAUGACGGUAGCGUGAGAAGAAGCCCCGGCUAACUUCGUGCCAGCAGCCGCGGUAAUACGAAGGGGGCUAGCGUUGUUCGGAAUUACUGGGCGUAAAGGGCGCGUAGGCGGCCUGUUUAGUCAGAAGUGAAAGCCCCGGGCUCAACCUGGGAAUAGCUUUUGAUACUGGCAGGCUUGAGUUCCGGAGAGGAUGGUGGAAUUCCCAGUGUAGAGGUGAAAUUCGUAGAUAUUGGGAAGAACACCGGUGGCGAAGGCGGCCAUCUGGACGGACACUGACGCUGAGGCGCGAAAGCGUGGGAGCAAACAGGAUUAGAUACCCUGGUAGUCCACGCCGUAAACGAUGAAUGCUAGACGUCGGGGUGCAUGCACUUCGGUGUCGCCGCUAACGCAUUAAAGCAUUCCGCCUGGGGAGUACGGCCGCAAGGUUAAAAACUUAAAGGAAUUGACGGGGUCAUAGCUGUUUCCU
rnacentral:rRNA from 1 species